AAACCCAAGCCAGUUUUAAGUGUUUCUCCACAGCAGUGGUUGACUGAAGGAGAUUCAGUGACUCUGAGGUGUGAAGUUAUAAAUUCAUCUACAGGCUGGACAUUCAGCUGGUUCACUGUACAGAGUCACUCCCCAGAUGGUUACCAGUUGGUGUCAAACAGCAGUGGAGGAUCUAAAGGCAUCUACACAGUGAGUUCAGUGACUGUGAAGCACACAGGAGUUUAUAUGUGCAGAGCAGAGAGAGGAGAUCCAGUCUAUCACACAGAGUACAGUAACACAAAGCCACUGUUUGUCAAUGACCGGAGAUGAUGUGAGAGGCAGACCAUGAGGGAUACAUGUCUCCUCUUGUACGGGCAGAAGUUCUCAUAAUGACCCUGCAGAUGUUCUGACUGACUUUGGAGUGCUUUUUAGGCUGUUUUAUGCCCUCUGUUUAGAGAAGACUUACUGUAAUUCUGUAUGUUCAGUCUGUGUGAUAAGUGAAUAAGUGAAUUAAAAGCUUUUGUUUUAAUGUGACUGAAGUUAAUAAUUUGUUAACAACACCAGCAUAAAUUAUUUGAUGAAUAAUUUAAAUUUUUUUUAUUAAAAAUUCGCAAAUAAUAAAUAUUAAUUGAAGAAACACAUAAUACAUUGAGUAAAUACUUAAAUUUUAAUUGACAGAGUCUUUGCUGUAAGUUUUUAAAGAUUCAACUGAUUAAAACAUUUUAGUUGAAUGAACUAUAAAGCUAAUUGAGCAAACAUACUUUUUUAUAUUUGAGUCAAAUUUGGGCCAACAAAAAAACUAUAAUUCAGGUAACACUUUGGAGACAGAAAUUGAGUGAACGUAAAAUUUCUGUUAGUCUGAAGUAGUGGAUUCCUGAUAUCUGGCUCCUUUUCAUUUCUGUAUAUAAUUUUCAAUGAUUUUGAAAUCAGAUACUUAUUAAUAUUUAUUGUCCCAGAAAUUAAAGUGAUUUGAAUAAAUUAUUUAUGCUUAUAAAGUAAUGUUAUUUAUAUAAUGUAUAAUUGUUCACUAAAAACUUUCUAUGUUCUAGUUCACAAUAUGCUUGUUUCUCUUUGUUAAAAUCACAAAUAAAACAAUUACUUCUUGUCAUAGUCCUUAAAUAUAACUUUCUGUACGAAAUUCUAGGUGUGCUCUGAACUUGACAUCCAUGUGUGGACGUUUUCUAAGUUUAUCUAUAGCUUAAUCAUUCAACAUCACGAAGUUUGACAUAAUGACAUAGUUUAAUUUUAUUUGUUAAAGUACAAAUACUUCUGUAUUGAGUAUGUGUGAGAAGAUCGU